UACCAGCACCCCGAGUGGUCGGGACGAUUAUUGGGCCUAAAGCAUCCGUAGCCGGUUCUACAAGUCUUCCGUUAAAUCCACCUGCUUAACAGAUGGCUGCGGAGGAUACUAUGGAGCUAGGAGGCGGGAGAGGCAAGCGGUACUUAGUGGGUAGGGGUAAAAUCCGUUGAUCCAUUGAAGACCACCAGUGGCGAAGGCGGCUUGCCAGAACGCACUCGACGGUGAGGGAGUGAAAGCUGGGGGAGCAAACCGG
rnacentral:rRNA from 1 species